AUUGCCAGUCUCUUAACAGUCCAUCAUUCUUAAAUGAUAGAAGUGUAGCAGCACCCUCCGAGAAAAAUCUUUCCUGCGGAUUUGACUUUGUCCAUGCCAGGACAAAUUGCGUGCAAAGUUGGAAUAAUUCUGAGAUGUGAGACACCUCCAUGACUGUCCUUGGAAGACUGAGGAGCUGACAUUCCUCUUUGGAAGAUGAGAGGAGAAUGGCCCCCCCUGCCCUCUUAAUUGAUGAUUUACUGUGCUCUCCCCUGGGGCCACAACCGAUGAUCUAUUGCAUUCUUACCCAAAUACUCUUCGUGAUUGCCUGCUUUGCGGCUUUGGGGUGCAGCUCAUGGAAAUCUUUAAGGGAUAGCAAGUAUUUGUCAAGAAGAUCGAUGAGGAAUAACCUCACAGGCCCCUUAAAAAUAAGAAUUUUCCUAGCGUGA
rnacentral:lncRNA from 1 species